AAUUAUAUAGUCAAUAAUGACACUGAAUUGCAAAUUCAGAGGAGAAUUUAAUUCUGUAGUUU
rnacentral:tRNA from 1 species